rnacentral:rRNA from 1 species
GACGAAGGGGGCUAGCGUUGUUCGGAAUUACUGGGCGUAAAGCGCGUGUAGGCGGGUGAUCAAGUCAGGUGUGAAAUCCCCAGGCUCAACCUGGGAACUGCACUUGAAACUGGUCGCCUUGAGUGUUGGAGAGGGAAGCGGAAUUCCUGGUGUAGAGGUGAAAUUCGUAGAUAUCAGGAGGAACACCGGUGGCGAAGGCGGCUUCCUGGACAAUUACUGACGCUGAGACGCGAAAGCGUGGGGAGCAAACAGG